AUUGAACGCUGGCGGCAUGCCUUACACAUGCAAGUCGAACGGUAACGCGGGGCAGCCUGGCGACGAGUGGCGAACGGGUGAGUAAUGCAUCGGAACGUGCCUGGUAGUGGGGGAUAACUGCUCGAAAGAGCAGCUAAUACCGCAUACGACCUGAGGGUGAAAGGGGGGGAUCGCAAGACCUCUCGCUAUCAGAGCGGCCGAUGUCGGAUUAGCUAGUUGGUGGGGUAAAGGCCCACCAAGGCGACGAUCCGUAGCUGGUCUGAGAGGACGACCAUCCACACUGGGACUGAGACACGGCCCAGACUCCUACGGGAGGCAGCAGUGGGGAAUUUUGGACAAUGGACGCAAGUCUGAUCCAGCCAUGCCGCGUGCGGGAAGAAGGCCUUCGGGUUGUAAACCGCUUUUGUCAGGGAAGAAAUCUUCUGGACUAAUACUCUGGGAGGAUGACGGUACCUGAAGAAUAAGCACCGGCUAACUACGUGCCAGCCGCCGCCGUAAGAC
rnacentral:rRNA from 1 species